GACGAACGCUGGCGGCGUGCUUAACACAUGCAAGUCGAACGGUAAGGCCCUUCGGGGUACACGAGUGGCGAACGGGUGAGUAACGCGUGAGUAACCUGCCCUUGACUCUGGGAUAACAGAUGGAAACGUCUGCUAAUACCGGAUACUCGGCCUUGUGGGCAUCCGCAGGGUUGGAAAGCUCCGGCGGUCAAGAAUGGACUCGCGUCCUAUCAGCUAGUUGGUGGGGUAACGGCCUACCAAGGCGACGACGGGUAGCCGGCCUGAGAGGGCGACCGGCCACAUUGGGACUGAGAUACGGCCCAGACUCCUACGGGAGGCAGCAGUGGGGAAUAUUGGGCAAUGGGCGAGAGCCUGACCCAGCAACGCCGCGUGGAGGAAGACGGCCUUCGGGUUGUAAACUCCUUUUGAUAGGGAAGAGAGAGGACGGUACCUGUCGAAUAAGUCACGGCUAACUACGUGCCAGCCGCCGCAGUAAAAC
rnacentral:rRNA from 1 species